rnacentral:lncRNA from 1 species
CUUUGUGUCACUUCUCACAACGUCCAGAUUUCAGAUGGUAGCAAAGACAUUUUGAGGACAACAGCAGUGACACACGAGACUGUAAAACAAGCAGACUGAAAAGGAUGAGAAUAAGGGGAAAAGGUGCAAGCCUGAAGCAAUACGGUAAGUCACAAUAUCAUGUCAACUUUAAAUGGGUGUGUAAGACAAAAAUGUGGGUUAAUCUGAAAAAAAAUGACUGAAGCUGAGAGGAUAUUAGAGGAAUGACGAAGAGAAGAGUCCCCCGUCCUGAUUUCUUCUCUCUGCGUUUCUCUAUCCCACACUGGGGACACCAGGAAUGUUUUGUCAGGAUCCUUUCGUGGUGUCAGCGAUUUUGGCACAGGGGAGUGAUUUAAGGGGGCAUGGCGUGCCUGUCAUGCCCCCACGCCUGACUGUUCCAGUCUGCCUUCAGAGUGUGUGCAAACAAAUAAAGCACCGGGGCCUUUUUAAUUAGCAGCAGAGCAGAGAGUGACAGCUCGUAGUGGUCGGGAUAGCACAGUUACCAGCUAUUACUCUAAAUAUUUGGUACGUUGCAAAGUUCAGACCAUUAGAGGAUGGAAUAUUUGAAACAAGCCACACUGCACUUGGUGAUAAUAAUUUGACAAAAUAAUGCAACAAAUAUUUAAAGCUGUUUCUUAUUUUAUCAUUUGAUUGUAUGCAAAUGUAGACAAAGUUUUUUGUUUUUUAAUUUAGGCCUUUUUUUUAUUAUUUCAAAUUAAAAAUGUUUCACACUGUCCACCCACAUAAGGACACACUAAAACAAUGUUGAUAUUGACCUCAGGGUCAACCUAAAUUUCUAGGAUGUACUAGAGUGGAACAGGGGCGUCUGAUGUCUGCGCUUCUGAGCUUUCAUGGUUGGAAAAAUUUUAAGUGUUAAAUCAUUUUUCUUGCUAUGAUAAAACCUGCAGUUAAGUUAAAAUUUUAGGUUCAAACCUCGUUUGAAUAAAAUGUAAAUUUAUUUGAAUUUCGUAACUAAAAGAUAUGAAAUAGAUUAAAUUAUCAAACAACUAUAUAUCAAAAAUAUGUGUAUUCAACUUUAUAGAGACACAACAAACUCGAAUAUUUAAAAAUCAUGCCAACAUUGACAUCCCAAUCUGACACUUUGUCCCACAAUUUAAAGCUCAUAAUCUGAGAUUCCCUCACAAUAAUUGUUUGUCAUUGAAUCAGUGUAAUCCCUGAGUAAAGCACAUCUCCACAGAGACAGCUCUUGGCUCGGUAUCAGAGGCGAGCCGGGGCACAUGAAGAACAGAAAUUCCAUGACAUGAGCUGUUAGAUAUCACAUUUCAGUUGUGUGGAAAUCCUGCAAACCUCUCCAUGAACAACACAUUACUCCCCGCGUCCAUUACGAUAUUUCUUAUCCAAAUGUUACACCGAGUUGUGUUUGUUGUAAGAGAGCAGCUGCCAUCAUUCAUUUGUUGUUUCGCUGGACAAGAAACAACAAGUUACUUCCACAUAUUUCUCCGGGCUGAAUAAUCCUUUUUUUUAUUUACAGUGUCACGCUGUAGGAGUGAUUUUACUGUUUUAUAGAGGGUUGAAUUACUAAUAAUGACACACUCAAGUGAUGUUCUGCUAUUUAACCCAUUUUAAAUAUCAGUUUUCAUAAGUCCCACUGUUCUGUUAGUACCCUGAUCAUGACCCUGUUUUUUUUUUUUUUUUUUUUUAGCCCAGGGCCAUGAAAGUCAUUAUUUACAGUGCGUCUGUGUGAGGGCAUAUCUGACGCUGAUGGGGCCUGUGUUUAUUUAAUGCCGCCUAAAUGACGGGGUUCAAGCCUACAGCUUCCUCUGCUCUUACAAUGUAAUUAUAGAGAGAUUUAUCCAUGCUUAGGCGUUUGACAUCUAUGCUGAACUUUUAUUAUACAAAAACACAUAAUAAAAUAUAUCUAAGACCUUUCAUUUAAUACAUACCUUUGAGUAAUUAUCAUCUAUUUUACACCAGUUUUCUGAAUAAGACUUGUUUAAUAAGCACUUUGUAACCCUGUUUUGAAAGUACCAUAUAAAUCAAGUUUAUUAUUUAUUAUCAUUAUUCUUAUUAAAAUAAAUAUAGAUUAUAUUCUGCAUGUUUUGAUACUAUAGAAAUCACAAUCUUAUUUUUGUAAUUGCUGAAUAAUAAAAUUAAACAAAUAACAGCUUAUUGUUAUUUAUUAAAUUAAAGGCACAAUCCAGAGAAACAUUGUAAGCAUUGCAUUUGUGACCCCUCAGAAAGCCUUGUGUAAUUUUUUAACAUGAACAGGAUGUACUGUCUGAGUGAUCAGUACGUGAUUGGAUUUAAUGAGAACUAUUAACCCUGACUUUGCUUGGGAUGUUCUUUUAUGUUGAAACAAAAGGGGGAAUAUUUUCUCCUCUGCUGAUAAUUUUGCAUUAAACAGCACAAAAACAACUCCUGAUGUGUGCAGAUUUUCAUUAUCCUGAAUUUCAAUUUUGAAUUAUUCUGGCUAUUGAAUGCAGCUUAUUGGAGGCCUAACUCGUCAAGCAAUUUUGUUAAAUAAAUUCUACAUAUUUUCUGUUCAAUCAUUUAUUUAUUUUAUUUAAAUUUAAAUACGUGUCUAUAAUUUUUUUGUGUUUGUGUCUUUGCAGUCUAAACAUCAUCAUGAGAACGUUUCCGGAGCGUACACGUUGUUGCGUGUAUCUCUCUCUGCAGAAGUCAGACCGGACUCUUGACUGUGAGUGAAUAUUUGCAGAGGAGUCCCGCAAGUCUGACGCUGAUCAGCGGAUUCACCGUGUCGAUACAGUUUAUUGAUCUCAGGGGAUUUUUGACGUCAGCUCGCGCCGCUGCACGAGACAGAGGAAGGAGGUGACCGUGUCUAAGAGGGGCCCACGAGGGACGGUCGAUCAUACAGCGAAGCAGAUCACAAUUUAAUCACUUCCAAUUUGUUUAUAUUUAUGUGGAAUUUUUUUAACGAAUUUUAUCUACUCCUGUACCGAACAUUUUGUACGUAAAAUGGCAAAUCAAUGGUCGUGUUAGUCACAUCGUAAAUCAAUAUUGAAUUUUUAAAAAAUCGCAAAUCCAACGAAAAACUAAGGGUUUUGAUCAGCCAAUCAAAAUAGACGCAACGUAAUGAGACGUGGAUAAUUAUGACGUUGUUUGUUAUCCUCAUUGACUGAUAAUGGAAAACUUCCCUUUGUUGAUUUUUUUAAUUAGGAAUCAUCAGCAGUAAAAAAUUAUAAAAUUAUCAAAAACAAAAAAAUAAAAAAAGUGACAAACAUACAGUCUAACCUUUUUUCUCUUUCAUUUAAAAUUGAAAAUAAAAAGAAGUUUGAUCCUCCUCCUGAGACAGAAAUUACAUUAUUAUUAUAGAGCAUUAUAAAAUAAUAAAAUCCUAGAUAUCCUCAAAACUUAGUCAGACAUAUUAGUUAUUAUUUUUUAACAAAAUGGUAUUUGUAGAACAAAUUCAAAUGUAGAGGUUUUGUCCUUGGUUUGUGUAAUUUUGUAAUGCAUGGUGCUGAAAAUCCUAACAAAUGAUGUGUCAUCAAUUUGGAAACAUUCUUGCUCUGCUUCAUACCGAAUAAACAAUAAACAUUUGUUUUCAAUAGAGAGAGCUAAAUAAUAGAGGACAUUUUAGAAACCAAAGCACAUACAUCUCUCAGCCGGCGUAGCUUUGUGAUAUUUCUGCUUUCAGUGAGUUUAUUUAGUCUGCUGUUCAUCCUCAAAGUUUCCUUACAGCUCUGUGACGCAUGGCUGAGAAAGUAAAACACAGCAGCCCCACAGGAAGAGAAAAAAAUCCUCUCAUUCAAUUAAGUAUUUGCUGCAGUUUUUCUUUUGUUAGAAAACACACAAAACCCCGCAGUGAAAAAAGAAGCAAGAAUAAAUAAUUUACUGCAAUUUACAUACAAGAAAAUAAACUGUUGUAUUCAAUUACAAAAGCUUUAUUUUCUAUUGCAACAGAUUUUAGAGUUGUGCUGCAAGGAUAAUUAAAAAAUCUAGAUUAAUGAGAAAUUAUUUGACCAAACAGUAAGUUAUAAUAUUUUUAAUGCUGAAUUAUAUUUGACUCCUCCUGUUAAUAUAUUGUGAUAUUUUUUUUAUCUUAUGUUUAAAAAAAACACAUCAAAUUAUUAAUAUUGUGUUGUGUUAUAAUUCCAGAAGUCAGAAUAAAUGAAAGUGCUCUAUUUAUAU